AAUAUUGCACAAUGGGGGAAACCCUGACGCAGCGACGCCGCGUGAACGAUGAAGGCCUUCGGGUCGUAAAGUUCUGUCCUCAGGGAAGAAUAAAUGACGGUACCUGCAGAAUAAGCACCGGCUAACUACGUGCCAGCAGCCGCGGUAAUACGUAGGGUGCAAGCGUUAAUCGGAAUUACUGGGCGUAAAGCGUGCGCAGGCGGUUCGGCAAGAAGGAUGUGAAAUCCCAGGGCUUAACCUUGGAACUGCAUUCUUAACUGCCGGGCUAGAGUAUGUCAGAGGGGGGUAGAAUUCCGCGUGUAGCAGUGAAAUGCGUAGAGAUGCGGAGGAAUACCGAUGGCGAAGGCAGCCCCCUGGGAUAAUACUGACGCUCAUGCACGAAAGCGUGGGGAGCAAACA
rnacentral:rRNA from 1 species